rnacentral:rRNA from 1 species
GGAGACUGCCGGUGACAAACCGGAGGAAGGUGGGGACGACGUCAAGUCAUCAUGGCCCUUACGCCCAGGGCUACACACGUGCUACAAUGGACGGUACAGCGGGUUGCGAGCCUGCGAAGGUGAGCUAAUCUCGAAAAGCCGUUCUCAGUUCGGAUUGGAGUCUGCAACUCGACUCCAUGAAGCCGGAAUCGCUAGUAAUCGCGG